AUGCCAUGAUGUGGGAAUUUCCUUAGUAAUUCCUUAUACAUCUCCCAAGCAUCAGAAACUGUUUCAUCGUCCAGUUGUUUGAAAAGAAAAUUUUCAUUUCUAAACUU